rnacentral:lncRNA from 1 species
AGUCUUGUUUAAUGGGAGGUUAUAUGUUUGAGCCUCAUUGCAUAAUAUUUAUUUCCCCAAUUUAUUAAGUUGGCAUGUAAGCCCAAAUGAUGCUGAUUGUGGUUAUUUGCCUAUGAGCUUGUGUCUCUAGGUGUGGGUAUGAGGUCGUAUGUGAGGGAGGGUGUUAAGAGUAUGAUAUAUAUUGUGGGCCCAAGUCUUACAAGUUUAAACUUUUAGAGUAUGAUAUAUAUUGUGGGCCCAAGUCUUACAAGUUUAAACUUUUAGGAAAAUUGGUAGUUCAACAUUUAUUAUUAUCAUUUUUUUGGGU